GACGAACGCUGGCGGCGUGCCUAACACAUGCAAGUCGAGCGAAUGAAGUUCCUUCGGGAACGGAUUUAGCGGCGGACGGGUGAGUAACACGUGGGUAACCUGCCUUACAGAGGGGGAUAACAGUUUGAAAAGACUGCUAAUACCGCAUAAGCACACAGUACCGCAUGGUACGGGGUGAAAAGAUUUAUCGCCGUAAGAUGGACCCGCGUCUGAUUAGCUAGUUGGCAGGGUAACGGCCUACCAAGGCGACGAUCAGUAGCCGACCUGAGAGGGUGAUCGGCCACAUUGGGACUGAGACACGGCCCAAACUCCUACGGGAGGCAGCAGUGGGGGAUAUUGCACAAUGGAGGAAACUCUGAUGCAGCGACGCCGCGUGAGUGAAGAAGUAUUUCGGUAUGUAAAGCUCUAUCAGCAGGGAAGAUAAUGACAGUACCUGACUAAGAAGCCCCGGCUAACUACGUG
rnacentral:rRNA from 1 species